rnacentral:rRNA from 1 species
AUGAAUGCCAUCAAUGGAAACUUUAAUGCGCCUAACGCAGGAUCCUCGCACGUUCAAAAUUCAUUCUGUGUUAGAUGCCUCCUUUCGGGCCACAAUAGGCCCAGCUGCACCAAUCGUAUCAAGUGUCGGUCAUGCAAGUGUUGGGGCCACAUUGCGAGAGACUGCUUCUCCUCGGCCCAACACAACCCACCCCCAAGAUCCAACUCAGCAGCCCGUUUGGCGAUUGAGUUUCCUAGGCAAGACUGCACUGUUCCCGCGAUUGUGACUACACAUCCCUCCCAUCAACUGACCAACCGGGAUCAUCCAGUUAAUGCUCCUCCGCUAUCAACCCCGAUACGUAGCCACCAUUGCCGGACCUCCCAAAUCUCCACCACCCAAAGACUCCAAGCCGCAGUUAUCCAACCAUCCUCGCCGCCACUCAAUCCAUCGUCUCCGACCUUGCGUAGCUCUUCGUCCAUGGCUACAUUCCCCUUUGACCCUACACCUUUUAUUCCACCCAAUCAUCAGAGUAUCCAGGUGGAAGGAAGGCCAGCAAGGGUUUGA